CCCCGCCCCGCCAAGGGUGGGGGCGGCGGCCCGGGCUCUGCGCGCUGCCCGGCGCUGUCCGAGGUGCUGGACGCCGGCGGGGCGCGCUCCACGCCGCCCGCUCUGUGCGCAGCUUCCAGAAGGCCCUGCGCGCCCCGCCCUUCAGCGCACCUGCUCCAGGUGCCCAGGACUCAAAGCACGUGGCAUCGUAUCUGCAAGGUGAGCGCGCCCGCGCCCGGGCUUCGCGGAGGCCUGCCCCCCAUGUCUAGGUGAAAACAAGCACGCGUGGGGAAACAAUGAACGACUGUUCAACUGAAGGAAACAAUGCGUGCUUUUGGAUACAUGCAUGCGAAUACACCCGUGAAGUUCAUGACCUAUUACUACCCUCUACACCUGUACUUUGUACCGCAAGGCAGGACGGGAUUGGUGAAGCUGAGCCAACUCCGGAGUCAGACUGCAUGGACUGAAAUCCCAACCCAACCACUUGCCAGCCGUGGAUCUCUGAUGUGACGCUCUCCCGUGGCUUCUCUCUGUCGUAAACACACUCCGGUGAAGGCCCUUUCGUCAGUCUUUUUCAAAUUUCAGAAUUAUUUCCUAAGAGCAAAAUACUUGAGGUUCCCGAGGGAAAGGUAUGCAAAACUUUACCAUUUGCAUACAGAGUGCAAAGGGCUGCUCUGUGAAGGCCGUACCACUUUUCAUUACCCCUUGCUCAGGGCUAAGUGCAUCCUCCACCUUAUGAGAUCUCAUUGUUGAAGAAACUUGCUAACGUGAUAAUUAAAAAUGUAUUAGGUCA